AAACGCCACAUGCACCUGUGCAGAAAACAUUUUAAAUGUCAAACCAAUAAACAUCAAUGUUUUUCAGUUUUGAACAAUAGAUGGCAUAAUGGAGUUUUCAACUGAAUAGCAAAUCCCAAGUUUGUUGACGAUAGACGAAGAAAAAUAAUUCCUCGAAUUGAAGUGUUAAUAUGAAAUAAACAUAUUUGUUUAUAUUGA